rnacentral:rRNA from 1 species
UAGUCCACGCCGUAAACGAUGUCUACUUGGAGGUUGUGGCCUUGAGCCGUGGCUUUCGGAGCUAACGCGUUAAGUAGACCGCCUGGGGAGUACGGUCGCAAGAUUAAAACUCAAAUGAAUUGACGGGGCCCGCACAAGCGGUGGAGCAUGUGGUUUAAUUCGACGCAACGCGCAGAACCUUACCAGGGUUAAAUCCACUAGAACUUACCAGAGAUGGUUUGGUGCCCUUCGGGGAAUUAGUGAGACGGUGCUGCAUGGCUGUCGUCAGCUCGUGUCGUGAGAUGUUGGGUUAAGUCCCGCAACGAGCGCAACCUCUGUCGUUAGUUGCCAGCAUUAAGUUGGUGCACUCUAGCGAGACUGCCGACGUUAAGUCGGAGGAAGGUGGAGACGACGUCAAGUCCUCAUGGCCCUUAUGCCCUGGGGCUACACACGUGCUACAAUGGCUGACACAAAGAGCUGCGAAACCGCGAGGUGGAGCCAAUCUCAAAAAAUCAAGCCUCAGUUCGG